UACGAAGGGGGCUAGCGUUGUUCGGAAUUACUGGGCGUAAAGCGCACGUAGGCGGAUAUUUAAGUUAGGGGUGAAAUCCCAGGGCUCAACCCUGGAACUGCCUUUAAUACUGGGUAUCUCGAGUCCGAGAGAGGUGAGUGGAAUUCCGCGUGUAGUGGUGAAAAUGCGUAGAGAUGCGGAGGAACACCCAGUGGCGAAAGCGACUUUCUGGUCCUUAACUGACGCUGAGGCGCGAAAGCAUGGGGAGCGAACGGG
rnacentral:rRNA from 1 species